GAGUUUGAUCCUGGCUCAGGAUGAACGCUGGCGGCAUGCCUAACACAUGCAAGUUGAACGAGAAGUUCUGGAGGGAGUCUUCGGACGAACGAAGGAAUGGAAAGUAGCGAACGGGUGAGUAACGCGUGGGCAACCAACCUUACACAGGGGGAUAACGCAGAGAAAUUUGCGCUAAUACCGCAUAAGCGCACAGUACCGCAUGGUACCGUGUGAAAAACUCCGGUGGUGUAAGACGGGCCCGCGUCUGAUUAGUUAGUUGGUGAGGUAAAAGCUCACCAAGGCGACGAUCAGUAGCCGACCUGAGAGGGUGAUCGGCCACAUUGGGACUGAGACACGGCCCAAACUCCUACGGGAGGCAGCAGUGGGGGAUAUUGCACAAUGGAGGGAACUCUGAUGCAGCAAUGCCGCGUG
rnacentral:rRNA from 1 species